AAGUCGUAACAAGGUUUCCGUAGGUGAACCUGCGGAAGGAUCAUUACAGAGUUCAUGCCCUCACGGGUAGAUCUCCCACCCUGCAUAUAUAAUUAUCAUUGUUGCUUUGGUGGGCCUGCGGCAGCCACUAGCUUGCCCGGGUUCUGCCCGGCGUGCCCGCCAGAGGAAACCUAAACUCUGAAUGUUAGUGUCGUCUGAGUACUAUAUAAUAGUUAAAA
rnacentral:misc_RNA from 1 species